UACGGAGGGAGCUAGCGUUGUUCGGAAUUACUGGGCGUAAAGCGCACGUAGGCGGCUUUGUAAGUUAGAGGUGAAAGCCUGGAGCUCAACUCCAGAACUGCCUUUAAGACUGCAUCGCUUGAAUCCAGGAGAGGUGAGUGGAAUUCCGAGUGUAGAGGUGAAAUUCGUAGAUAUUCGGAAGAACACCAGUGGCGAAGGCGGCUCACUGGACUGGUAUUGACGCUGAGGUGAGAAAGCGUGGGGAGCAAACAGG
rnacentral:rRNA from 1 species